CAUGCAAGUCGUGCGUGAACGUUGGCUUCGGCCAAUUAGUAAAGCGGCGAACGGGUGAGUAACGCGUGGGGAAUCUGCCUUCGGGUGGGGGAUAACACUCCUAACGGGGUGCUAAUACCGCAUAACAUCCUUCGAUCACAUGUUCGAAAGAUCAAAGCUGGCCUCUACUUGUAAGCUAGCGCCUGAAGAUGACCCCGCGUCCGAUUAGCUUGUUGGUGAGGUAACGGCUCACCAAGGCAACGAUCGGUAGCUGGUCUGAGAGGAUGGUCAGCCACACUGGGACUGAGAUACGGCCCAGACUCCUACGGGAGGCAGCAGUCGAGAGGCUUCGGCAAUGGGGGAAACCCUGACCGAGCGACGCCGCGUGAGGGAUGACGCCCCUCGGGGUGUAAACCUCUUUUCCAAGAGAAGAAACUCAUGGGAGCGAAUAGGUCCCGUGACUGACGGUAUCUUGGGAAUAAGCUCCGGCUAACUCCGUG
rnacentral:rRNA from 1 species